UACGGAGGGCGCAAGCGCUGUUCGGAAUCAUUGGGCGUAAAGCGGGUGUAGGCGGCUUGACAAGUCGGGUGUGAAAUCCCUGGGCUCAACCCAGGAACUGCACUCGAAACUGUCUCGCUAGAGUCCCGGAGAGGGUGGCGGAAUUCCCGGUGUAGAGGUGAAAUUCGUAGAUAUCGGGAGGAACACCAGUGGCGAAGGCGGCCCUCUGGACGAUGACUGACGCUGAGACGCGAAAGCGUGGGGAGCAAACAGG
rnacentral:misc_RNA from 1 species